rnacentral:rRNA from 1 species
AGUGAACGCUGGCGGUAGGCCUAACACAUGCAAGUCGAACGGCAGCACAGUAAGAGCUUGCUCUUACGGGUGGCGAGUGGCGGACGGGUGAGGAAUACAACGGACUCUACUUUUUCGUGGGGGAUAACGUAGGGAAACUUACGCUAAUACCGCAUACGACCUACGGGGGAAAGCAGGGGAUCUUCGGACCUUGCGCGAUUGAAUGAGCCGAUGUCGGAUUAGCUAGUUGGCGGGGUAAAGGCCCACCAAGGCGACGAUCCGUAGCUGGUCUGAGAGGAUGAUCAGCCACACUGGAACUGAGACACGGUCCAGACUCCUACGGGAGGCAGCAGUGGGGAAUAUUGGACAAUGGGCGCAAGCCUGAUCCAGCCAUACCGCGUGGGUGAAGAAGGCCUUCGGGUUGUAAAGCCCUUUUGUUGGGAAAGAAAAGCAGCAGGUUAAUACCCCGCUGUUCUGACGGUACCCAAAGAAGAAGCACCGGCUAACUUCGUG